AUGGUGGUGGUUCCGGCUGCGGCGGUGGUGACCAUGCUACUGUUCAUCGUCUUCCCCAAAACGGUCAACAGAAGUCAAACGGCCUAAUUCUCGAUCAAUACCGGAUAAUAUUCAAAUUAAACUUGCAGAAACAUUGUACAAGUAUAAACAUACCGAUUGGGUGAUUAAAACCGAUCCGGUAUCGCGUGCAACAGCGUGGCGACAGUCUCCGGCGACGGGUAUUCCGGCGAGACUUGCAGACGAUGAACAGAGGGUAUUUUCGAAGGGGUAAAGGAUUUUGAAGGGUGUGAGAGUUUUAUAUGGGUUCAGGGACUCUAAAUAACACAACAAUUUGACACUUAAUCGACAAACUUCUGUGGAUUAAUUCCACUUUGAAUUUUUUAUAAAAACUCCGAUUUCACGUGGUGUCGGGCAUGCUUAUUGAACAAUUACAAAGCGUGGGGAGUUGUUUACGAUCUGUGAGAGUGUUUUAUAUGGGUUCAGGGACUCUAAAUAACACAACAAUUUGA
rnacentral:lncRNA from 1 species